GAUGAACGCUGGCGGCGUGCCUAAUACAUGCAAGUCGAGCGAACGGACGAGAAGCUUGCUUCUCUGAUGUUAGCGGCGGACGGGUGAGUAACACGUGGAUAACCUACCUAUAAGACUGGGAUAACUUCGGGAAACCGGAGCUAAUACCGGAUAAUAUUUUGAACCGCAUGGUUCAAAAGUGAAAGACGGUCUUGCUGUCACUUAUAGAUGGAUCCGCGCUGCAUUAGCUAGUUGGUAAGGUAACGGCUUACCAAGGCAACGAUGCAUAGCCGACCUGAGAGGGUGAUCGGCCACACUGGAACUGAGACACGGUCCAGACUCCUACGGGAGGCAGCAGUAGGGAAUCUUCCGCAAUGGGCGAAAGCCUGACGGAGCAACGCCGCGUGAGUGAUGAAGGUCUUCGGAUCGUAAAACUCUGUUAUUAGGGAAGAACAUAUGUGUAAGUAACUGUGCACAUCUUGACGGUACCUAAUCAGAAAGCCACGGCUAACUACGUGCCAGCAGCCGCGGUAAUACGUAGGUGGCAAGCGUUAUCCGGAAUUAUUGGGCGUAAAGCGCGCGUAGGCGGUUUUUUAAGUCUGAUGUGAAAGCCCACGGCUCAACCGUGGAGGGUCAUUGGAAACUGGAAAACUUGAGUGCAGAAGAGGAAAGUGGAAUUCCAUGUGUAGCGGUGAAAUGCGCAGAGAUAUGGAGGAACACCAGUGGCGAAGGCGACUUUCUGGUCUGUAACUGACGCUGAUGUGCGAAAGCGUGGGGAUCAAACAGGAUUAGAUACCCUGGUAGUCCACGCCGUAAACGAUGAGUGCUAAGUGUUAGGGGGUUUCCGCCCCUUAGUGCUGCAGCUAACGCAUUAAGCACUCCGCCUGGGGAGUACGACCGCAAGGUUGAAACUCAAAGGAAUUGACGGGGACCCGCACAAGCGGUGGAGCAUGUGGUUUAAUUCGAAGCAACGCGAAGAACCUUACCAAAUCUUGACAUCCUUUGACAACUCUAGAGAUAGAGCCUUCCCCUUCGGGGGACAAAGUGACAGGUGGUGCAUGGUUGUCGUCAGCUCGUGUCGUGAGAUGUUGGGUUAAGUCCCGCAACGAGCGCAACCCUUAAGCUUAGUUGCCAUCAUUAGGUUGGGCACCCUAAGUUGACUGCCGGUGACAAACCGGAGGAAGGUGGGGAUGACGUCAAAUCAUCAUGCCCCUUAUGAUUUGGGCUACACACGUGCUACAAUGGACAAUACAAAGGGCAGCGAAACCGCGAGGUCAAGCAAAUCCCAUAAGGUUGUUCUCAGUUCGGAUUGUAGUCUGCAACUCGACUACAUGAAGCUGGAAUCGCUAGUAAUCGUAGAUCAGCAUGCUACGGUGAAUACGUUCCCGGGUCU
rnacentral:rRNA from 1 species